rnacentral:rRNA from 1 species
UACCAGCACCCCGAGUGGUCGGGACGAUUAUUGGGCCUAAAGCAUCCGUAGCCGGCCUUACAAGUCCCCCGUUAAAUCCAACUGCUUAACAGAUGGGCUGCGGAGGAUACUAUAAGACUAGGAGGCAGGAGAGGCAAGCGGUACUCAGUGGGUAGGGGUAAAAUCCGUUGAUCCAUUGAAGACCACCAGUGGCGAAGGCGGCUUGCUGGGCAGUGGCUGACGCUGAGGCGCGACAGCGUGGGGAGCAAACAGG